rnacentral:rRNA from 1 species
GCGCACCAGGCGAGAAUUUUUCUCAAUGGGGGCAACCCUGAAGGAGCGACGCCGCGUGGAGGAUGAAGGCUUUCGGGUCGUAAACUCCUGUCAUUUGAGAACAAGUGCCAACACCUAACUACUGUUGGCUUGAUAGUAUCAGAAGAGGAAGGGACGGCUAACUCUGUGCCAGCAGCCGCGGUAAUACAGAGGUCCCAAGCGUUGUUCGGAUUCAUUGGGCGUAAGGGUGCGUAGGUGGCGCCGUAAGUAGGGUGGUGAAAUUACCGGUAGGCUUAACUCCGAAACCUAGCAUUCCAUACUGCGGUGCUUGAGGACUGGAGAGGAGACU